ACUCAAAUGAAUUGACGGGGGCUCACACAAGCGGUGGAGCAUGUGGCUUAAUUCGAGGCUACGCGAAGAACCUUAUCCUGGGCUUGACAUGUGCGAAAGCGGUAGGAAGUAGGGUACGGAAACGCUACCCCAACGGUAUCCAGUCCGGAACCUACCACAGGUGCUGCAUGGCUGUCGUCAGCUCGUGUCGUGAGAUGUCGGGUUAAGUCCCAUAACGAGCGAAACCCCUGUCUCCAGUUGCCAGCGAUUCGGUCGGGGACUCUGGAGAGACUGCCGGUGUUAAACCGGAGGAAGGUGGGGAUGACGUCAAGUCCUCAUGGCCUUUAUGCCCAGGGCUGCACACGUGCUACAAUGGCGCGCACAGAGGGAAGCAAAGACGCGAGUCGGAGCCAAUCCCAAAAAACGCGCCCCAGUUCAGAUCGAAGGCUGCAACUCGCCUUCGUGAAGUUGGAAUCGCUAGUAAUCGCGGGUCAGCAACACCGCGGUGAAUGUGUUCCUGAGCCUUGCACACACCGCCCGU
rnacentral:rRNA from 1 species